ensembl:vault_RNA Vault Vault RNA
GGGUUGGCUUUAGCUCAGCGGUUACUUCGACAAUGCUUUCUAUGGUGGAAACACUACUACUCUGCGUGGUUUGGGACCCACGGGUCCUCUCUGACCUUUUA